UGUAGAAUAGGCGGCCCACUUUCAACGACUUCGGAAUUUUUUUUGCCGAAGUAAAAAAAGUGGAUUUUAGUUAUAAUCCACUUCACGGGUUCACUUUUUAAAAGUCACUUAUAUGUUUACUUUUAUAAUCCAAACAACCGAAAUAAUUCCACUUCACAAAAAUACCACUUUUAUUGUUUCACUUGCAGGCAACCAAACAUGCCCUAAAACAUAAGUUAAUAAAAAGUAUUAACGGCUGUCCAAUAAUCGCGCUAUUAAAUUGCCGCUAAAAGGCAAUUUUAUUAUAGUGUCUCCAAAUCCGAUCAUGGAGCAAAAAAAACUCUUGAUCGCAUUUUUGGUGCCUUAUUUGGGUACCUUAUGACGGUUCCUCAUCUGGGUUGUUCUUUAGAUAUUCAAAGGAGGCUCUUUUGGCGUGCUGAAAGCUUCUCGAGGUCAACCCCGAGAUCUACACCGCGUGAAACUAUCGAAAGCUCGCUCUUCGGCACAAUCUCAACGGAGUUUCUGAUCCUGUGGCCGUCAAAUCGACCGUAGGAUGAGCUCAGAGUGGAAUUUGUGAAGAUAGUAGAGGCGGCGUUGAGGAGGAAUCCCAAGUCUUAUGGGGCUUAGUAUCACAGGAAAUAGGUGUUAAAUCAGAAGACUUGCGAAGGAGUACUUUGGGUGUUUUAGUUGCUUUUGAUGCGAUACAGUGGAUGCUUUUUUUAUAUAUAUAAAUCUAUUUGUUUUGGUGCUUACUUUA